rnacentral:rRNA from 1 species
UACGUAGGCAGCGAGCGUUGUUCGGAGUUACUGGGCGUAAAGGGUGUGUAGGCGGUUUUCUAAGUUUGGUGUGAAAUCUCCCGGCUCAACCGGGAGGGUGCGCCGAAAACUGGGAGACUAGAGUGCGGGAUGGGAGAGUAGAAUUCCUGGUGUAGCGGUGAAAUGCGCAGAUAUCAGGAAGAACACCAAUGGCGAAGGCAGCUCUCUGGGACGGUACUGACGCUGAGACGCGAAAGCGUGGGGAGCGAACAGG